GCAUAAAUAUUCCGAAUUUGCGAUAAAUUAAAAACUACUAAAUUAUAUUAAUAUGCCAAAGCAAAUACCCAUCCAAACAUUAGGAGGAAGAAGUAAACUAAACAAUUGAGGAUUUGUCUUAAAUGAAGCUAAAGCAGCAGGCUUUACCGCCAGCAUAUGUGUGUUAACGUUAGCUGAAGCACAAAAUACAAUAGGGAAAUUCUUCAUGGGGUCGUUGCCAAACUUCCAGUGACAUCUUGCAGUGUGGAGGGACUGUUUUCUACAACAAAUAGGAUUAAGACGCUUCUCCGGUCAUCAAUGGACAACUUAACUUUACUGUCACUGGAACAUGAGCUGGCAGAUUAAUUGGAUUAAUGAAGAAAUCAUCUCCAUAUUCAACAACAAGCUCUACACCGCCUGCACCUUGAUGUGAACUGGCAGCCUAAAGUCACCCACGGUUCCAGUCUCACACAGAAGAAAAACAGGCCUUCAUGCAAAGCACUACAGGCACUCAAGAACUAGGACAGUGCAGAUGCAGAGCAGGAGGAGCAGCACAACGGCAGAGAUGGAGGCUGUUACCGCCACAGGGACUGUGCAGUCAUCUCCCUCCUGCACCACCUCUGCAACUGAGGAGAGAAGGUUUCCUCAAUGUUUUGGCGGACGCUGCUCUUCAGUGGUGUGGGGAGGGCAGACACAGAGGCCAGACACUCCACGUUGGAGCUCUUUGCUGCCGUGAAGCUGAGGUUGCUGGUCACAUUAAAGAGGCUCUUCCCCGACUCUUCACUACUGAUGUUGUAUUCACCCUGGCUCAUCUCCGCGCCAAGAGAAAGAAUUCGUUUUAUUGUAAUUCUUCUUACUAAUUACAAUCUGACUCAAUACAUAACUGUAUUUAAAGGAACAAUACAAAUGUAAAAGUAUUUUUUCUUCUUGUGAUGCGGCCACGAUCUGUUGUGACCAUGUUUGUUUUUAAAUUGCUUUGGAGAUGACAUCUCUUUUUGUCUUUGUUUUAGAUUUGCUCAGCCAAUAGCUGAAACGCUCCAUUCAGAGGCAGAUCAGUGUGGCUGUAGUUCACACCAAUGUAAUGAAGCUCAAUACCAUUUGGUUAUUGGUACUUAGCACCAAACAAUUACACUUGAGAAAAUUCUACAGCAACAUGUCUUUCCAGAUAUAAUUACAUGAUAAUCCUAAGACUUUGGUUGGACCCGUAGUGCAGUUUUCUAAAAGGUCUGGAAGAGUCUUUAGGCCACUUUCUCCAAACAAAAAGCCUGAGAGUAAUAAUGUACCUGCAUUUGCACCUUCUCUGGCUCGGCACAGGUACACACUUUUUUUUGAAUUUGUGCUGUUUUGCAGGGGUAAUACAAAUGAAAGUGGUCUUGAGUUAAAAUGUGCACAAAGAGAACU